CCUACGGGAGGCAGCAGUGAGGAAUAUUGGUCAAUGGGCGCGAGCCUGAACCAGCCAAGUCGCGUGAGGGAAGACGGUCCUAUGGAUUGUAAACCUCUUUUGUCGGGGAGCAAAAGACGCCACGCGUGGCGUUCCGAGAGUACCCGAAGAAAAAGCAUCGGCUAACUCCGUGCCCGCAGCCGCGGUAAUACGGAGGAUGCGAGCGUUAUCCGGAUUUAUUGGGUUUAAAGGGUGCGCAGGCGGAAGAGCAAGUCAGCGGUAAAAUUGAGAGGCUCAACCUCUUCGAGCCGUUGAAACUGGUUUUCUUGAGUGAGUGAGAAGUAUGCGGAAUGCGUGGUGUAGCGGUGAAAUGCAUAGAUAUCACGCAGAACUCCGAUUGCGAAGGCAGCAUACCGGCGCUCAACUGACGCUCAUGUACGAAAGUGUGGGUAUCGAACAGGAUUAGAGACCCGGGUAGUC
rnacentral:rRNA from 1 species